CCUACGGGAGGCAGCAGUAGGGAAUCUUCCACAAUGGGCGAAAGCCUGAUGCAGCAACGCCGCGUGUGUGAAGAAGGUCUUCGGAUCGUAAAACCCUGUUAGUAGAGAAGAAAGUGCGUGAGAGUAACUCUUCACGUUUCGACGGUAUCUAACCAGAAAGCCACGGCUAACUACGUGCCAGCAGCCGCGGUAAUACGUAGGUGGCAAGCGUUAUCCGGAUUUAUUGGGCGUAAAGGGAACGCAGGCGGUCUGUUAAGUCUGAUGUGAAAGCCUUCGGCUUAACCGGAGUAGUGCAUUGGAUACUGGGAGACUUGAGUGCCGAAGAGGAGAGUGGAACUCCAUGUGUAGCGGUGAAAUGCGUAGAUAUAUGGAAGAAGACCAGUGGCGAAGGCGGCUCUCUGGUCUGUGACUGACGCUGAGGUUCGAAAGCGUGGGUAGCAAACAGGAUUAGAUACCCGUGUAGUC
rnacentral:rRNA from 1 species